rnacentral:tRNA from 1 species
UCCCUGGUGGUCUAGUGGUUGGAACUGGGUGCUUUCACUGCCCAGGGUCCAGGGUUCAAUUCCUGGUCAGGGAU